CCGGGAUAGCUCAGCUGGUAGAGCACAGGACUGA
rnacentral:tRNA from 1 species